rnacentral:rRNA from 1 species
UACGAAGGGUGCAAGCGUUACUCGGAAUUACUGGGCGUAAAGCGUGCGUAGGCGGUUUGUUAAGUCUGUCGUGAAAUCCCCGGGCUUAACCUGGGAAUUGCGAUGAAGACUGCAAGGCUAGAAUCUGGCAGAGGGGGGUAGAAUUCCACGUGUAGCAGUGAAAUGCGUAGAGAUGUGGAGGAACACCGAUGGCGAAGGCAGCCCCCUGGGUCAAGAUUGACGCUCAUGCACGAAAGCGUGGGGAGCAAACAGG